GUACUGAGCCUUUUGCCAAACUUGAGUAAGCGUUAUUCAAUGGUGACACAAGAUGAAAGGCAAGACUGUAGUGGAAUCUAAGAAAACUAUUGUUUGCUAACUAUUUUUAUUCUUUUUUCCAUAUUCAAGUGGGUAAAAGGCCCAAAGUAGUUUAACUUUACAAAGGUUAAACUAUGUACAAAAUUUACAAUUAGAGCAACUGCACUUUAUUGAGGAAACGGGAUCGGCCGAGUUAACUCGGUUCACGCGCCCUCCAACACGACUCAACCCGGUCAACUCACUCCCCUUUCCCGGCGGCGACUUCUCACCACCUAAAUUCGAACGGAAAACUUCCGAUCUACCGCCACAGCUCAGCUUUGUCCCCAGCAGUUUAGGUACAUGACUUGCCGGAGCGACUCAUCAGCUUGUUUCCUCUUCUCCUCGCCGUUUCCACUUCCGAUGAACCCGCCGACAUCAGAUCCUAACAUGCCGG
rnacentral:lncRNA from 1 species